UUCUCCGUGAGCUGCAGCAAGCAUGGCUGAAUGUGUUGUGUCUUCAGCAUUUAAUCCUGUGCCAUCCGCGAGAAAUUAAGGCGAAGCAAUGCUUUUUCACCCAGCUUAUGAUACGUGGAAGUCGACAGUAAAUGCUCAAUCUUGCUACACGUCUCCCUCUCAUCAAUUUGCUGUGGUUUAAUUGGUGUUUAGUCGGAGUUGUUACACUUUUGAUGAGAACAAUACAACUUUAUUAAUGCAAAAACAUACAAAGACAUUUAUCACAAUUAGCAUAACAAUGAAUUGAUGCAACAAGGGUCUACAGCAGCAAAAGAGCCAACCUUAAAAAGCUCAAAAGCCUGAUAAAGAUGGCUGGUUCUGUUCGGGAGAUGAAGUUGGAACCUCUGGAGAUGAUUAUGCAAAGAAGGUGUAAUGAAUUGAGGAACUGUAGUAGUGAGGAAUGACGCGGUGGACCCAAGUUGUAGUGUGAAAUUAUGAUUUUAAUGAUAAAAUAUACAAAAUCCAGGAAGCAUGGAUAAGCAUGGAACAGAGAAACAGGUAGAUUCAUGGGAUACACACAACAAGGAUUCGACAAGGGGCAGAUGGCACAAGUAGGGUUAAAUACACAGAGGGUAAUCGGGGAAAAAGAGGGACAGCUGGAAACGAAGGGGAAAACGCAACAACAAAGACUCAAUUAACUUUAAAGACACACAAAAUCCAAAUCCUCACAGAAGGAUUCUUCAUAGGAACAAGAAAAUUAUGGACAACCCUGACCAUCCUCUUCAUGAGACUGUCUAGGGAAGGCAGAGCAUCUUCAGUCAGAGGCUUCUUCAGAUUCAGUGCAACACAGAAGUAAGGAGCUAUAGCAAAAGAGGCUUCGGCAAUUUAUUUUGUCUUUACUACAAGACAAAAUACAUGUGUAAAUGAGAGAGGCCUUCUGAGAAAGGAAUCAAAGCAAUUCAAC